rnacentral:rRNA from 1 species
AUUGAACGCUGGCGGCAGGCCUAACACAUGCAAGUCGAACGGUAACAGGAAGAAGCUUGCUUCUUUGCUGACGAGUGGCGGACGGGUGAGUAAUGUCUGGGAAACUGCCUGAUGGAGGGGGAUAACUACUGGAAACGGUAGCUAAUACCGCAUAACGUCGCAAGACCAAAGAGGGGGACCUUCGGGCCUCUUGCCAUCGGAUGUGCCCAGAUGGGAUUAGCUAGUAGGUGGGGUAACGGCUCACCUAGGCGACGAUCCAUAGCUGGUCUGAGAGGAUGACCAGCCACACUGGAACUGAGACACGGUCCAGACUCCUACGGGAGGCAGCAGUGGGGAAUAUUGCACAAUGGGCGCAAGCCUGAUGCAGCCAUGCCGCGUGUAUGAAGAAGGCCUUCGGGUUGUAAAGUACUUUCAGCGGGGAGGAAGGGAGUAAAGUUAAUACCUGUGCUCAUUGACGUUACCCGCAGAAGAAGCACCGGCUAACUCCGUG